rnacentral:rRNA from 1 species
UACAGAGGGUGCGAGCGUUAAUCGGAAUGACUGGGCGUAAAGGGUGUGUAGGUGGUUUAAUAAGUUAGGUGUGAAAGUCCUGGGCUUAACCUGGGGAGGUCGCUUAAGACUGUUAAGCUAGAGUACUGUAGAGGAAAGUGGAAUUUCCGGUGUAGCAGUGAAAUGCGUAGAUAUUGGGAAGAACACCCGUGGCGAAGGCGGCUCUCUGGGACGGUACUGGACGCUGAGACGCGAAAGCGGUGGGGA